CCGUCUGAUAGCCGCUGUGUAGUGCCGUAUCGCUUGUGAGUGUCAUCAAUGAAUUGUGGAUAGUGCCGGAAGUGGUAGGCUGAGGC